UACGGGGGGAGCAAGCGUUGUUCGGAUUUACUGGGCGUAAAGGGCGCGUAGGCGGCGUGACAAGUCACUUGUGAAAUCUCCGGGCUUAACCCGGAGCGGCCAAGUGAUACUGUCGUGCUAGAGUGCGGAAGGGGCUACUGGAAUUCUCGGUGUAGCGGUGAAAUGCGUAGAUAUCGAGAGGAACACCAAUGGCGAAGGCAGCUCGCUGGGACGGUACUGACGCUGAGGCGCGAAAGCGUGGGGAGCAAACAGG
rnacentral:rRNA from 1 species